GGGAAUGUGGUGAAUUUAUCAUUUGAGAUUGUCACUCUCGAGUUAGGCUGUGUGCUUCGUUCCCU
rnacentral:tRNA from 1 species